rnacentral:rRNA from 1 species
GCACGAAAGGCGCAACGAUCUGGGCACUGUCUCAACGAGAGACUCGGUGAAAUUAUAGUACCUGUGAAGAUGCAGGUUACCCGCGACAGGACGGAAAGACCCCGUGGAGCUUUACUGCAGCCUGAUAUUGAAUGUUGGUACAGCUUGUACAGGAUAGGUAGGAGCCUUGGAAACCGGAGCGCUAGCUUCGGUGGAGGCAUCGGUGGGAUACUACCCUGGCUGUAUUGACCUUCUAACCCGCUGCCCUUAUCGGGCAGGGAGACAGUGUCAGGUGGGCAGUUUGACUGGGGCGGUCGCCUCCUAAAAUGUAACGGAGGCGCCCAAAGGUUCCCUCAGAAUGGUUGGAAAUCAUUCGCAGAGUGUAAAGGCACAAGGGAGCUUGACUGCGAGACCUACAAGUCGAGCAGGGACGAAAGUCGGGCUUAGUGAUCCGGUGGUUCCGCAUGGAAGGGCCAUCGCUCAACGGAUAAAAGCUACCCCGGGGAUAACAGGCUUAUCUCCCCCAAGAGUCCACAUCGACGGGGAGGUUUGGCACCUCGAUGUCGGCUCAUCGCAUCCUGGGGCUGUAGUCGGUCCCAAGGGUUGGGCUGUUCGCCCAUUAAAGCGGUACGCGAGCUGGGUUCAGAACGUCGUGAGACAGUUCGGUCCCUAUCCGUCGCGGGCGCAGGAAAUUUGAGAGGAGCUGUCCUUAGUACGAGAGGACCGGGAUGGACGCACCGCUGGUGUACCAGUUGUUCUGCCAAGGGCAUCGCUGGGUAGCUAUGUGCGGACGGGAUAAGUGCUGAAAGCAUCUAAGCAUGAAGCCCCCCUCAAGAUGAGAUUUCCCAUUCCGCAAGGAAGUAAGAUCCCUGAAAGAUGAUCAGGUUGAUAGGUCUGAGGUGGAAGCGUGGUGACACGUGGAGCUGACAGAUACUAAUAGAUCGAGGACUUAACCUAUA